AUGCUCGCUUUGGCAGCACAUGUACUAAAACUGGAGUGAUAUGAAGCAGAUUAGCAUGGCCCCUGCUCCAGGAUGACAGGCAAAUUCAUGAAGCAUUCCAUGUUUGA
rnacentral:snRNA from 1 species